GUUAUAGGAUCAAGUGACUAAGUGCAUGCGGCGGAUGCCUUGGCGAUCACAGGCGAAGAAAGACGCGGCAGCCUGCGAAAAGCUGCGGGGAGCUGGCAAACGAGCUUUGAUCCGCAGAUAUCUGAAUGGGGAAACCCACACCGCAAGGUGUAUCCGUAGCUCAAUACAUAGGUUACGGAGGCGAACGAGGAGAACUGAAACAUCUAAGUAUCCUCAGGAAAAGAAAUCAACCGAGAUUCCGGCAGUAGCGGCGAGCGAACCCGGAGGAGCCCAGCUUUUGAUAGUACGAACUUUAGCCGAAAGGACCUGGAAAGGCCUGCUAUAGUGGGUGAUAGCCCCGUAGGCGAAAGAGUUGGUACGGUACUAAGGAAGCGAGAAGUAGAGCGGGACACGUGGAAUCCUGUUCGAAGACGGGGGGACCAUCCUCCAAGGCUAAAUACUCGUGAUCGACCGAUAGUGAACCAGUACCGUGAGGGAAAGGCGAAAAGAACCCCGGGAGGGGAGUGAAAUAGAACCUGAAACCGCAUGCAUACAAACAGUAGGAGCCUCGUCAGAGGUGACUGCGUACCUUUUGCAUAAUGGGUCAGCGACUUACAUUCUGUGGCGAGCUUAACCGAAUAGGGGAGGCGCAGCGAAAGCGAGUUCGAAAUGAGCGUUCAGUCGCAGGGUGUAGACCCGAAACCAGAUGAGCUAUCCAUGGCCAGGUUGAAGGUGUGGUAACACACACUGGAGGACCGAACCGACUAGUGUUGCAAAAUUAGCGGAUGAGCUGUGGAUAGGGGUGAAAGGCCAAACAAAUCUGGAGAUAGCUGGUUCUCCCCGAAAACUAUUGAGGUAGUGCCUCGUGUGUCGCUCCAGGGGGUAGAGCACUGUUUUGGCUAGGGGGACAUGGAGUCUUACCAAACCAAGGCAAACUCCGAAUACCUGGAAGCGUAAGCACGGGAGACAGAGCACCGGGUGCUAACGUCCGGACUCAAAAGGGAAACAACCCAGACCGCCGGCUAAGGUCCCAAAUAACAGCUAAGUGGAAAACGAAGUGGAAAGGCCGUGACAACCAGGAAGUUGGCUUAGAAGCAGCCAUCCUUCAAAGAAAGCGUAAUAGCUCACUGGUCGAGUCCUUCUGCGCGGAAGAUGUAACGGGGCUAAGCUGUUAACCGAAGCCGCGGAUGCGCUGGUUAUCCAGUGCGUGGUAGGGGAGCGUUCUGUAAGUCUGCGAAGGCGGUUCGAGAGGACUGCUGGAGAUAUCAGAAGUGCGAAUGCUGACAUGAGUAACGUUAAAGCAGGUGAAAAGCCUGCUCGCCGUAAGCCCAAGGAUUCCUGCUCUACGUUCAUCGGAGCAGGGUGAGUCGGCUCCUAAGGUCAGGCCGAAAGGCGUAGCCGAUGGGAAUCAGGUUAAUAUUCCUGAACCUGCGUCAGAUGCGAUGGGGGGACGGAGCAUGGAAGAUCAUCCGGGUGUUGGAAGUCCCGGUUGUUUAGCGUAGGAGGUCUGCAGGCAAAUCCGCAGACGCAUCUCCAAGGCAAAGACACGUGCCGCCACGGCGGCGAAGUGAUCGGAAGUGCUUCCAAGAAAAGCCUCUAAGCCCCAGUCUGACGCGGACCGUACCGCAAACCGACACUGGUGGGCGAGCUGAAUAUGCUCAGGCGCUUGAGAGAACUCGGGAGAAGGAACUCGGCAAAUUGACACCGUAACUUCGGAAGAAGGUGUGCCGUAGUACCGUGAGAGGAGAGACACCUUGAGCGGGAAACGGUCUCAGAGAAUAGGUGGCUGCGACUGUUUAUUAAAAACACAGCACUCUGCAAAGUCGAAAGACGACGUAUAGGGUGUGAUGCCUGCCCGGUGCUGGAAGAUUAAUUGAUGGGGUGAGAGCCCUUGAUCGAAGUCCCAGUAAACGGCGGCCGUAACUAUAACGGUCCUAAGGUAGCGAAAUUCCUUGUCGGGUAAGUUCCGACCUGCACGAAUGGCAUAACGAUGGCCACACUGUCUCCUCCCGAGACUCAGUGAAGUUGAAAUGUUUGUGAUGAUGCAAUCUACCCGCGGCUAGACGGAAAGACCCCAUGAACCUUUACUGCAGCUUUGCAUUGAACUGUGAACCGAUUUGUGUAGGAUAGGUGGGAGGCAGAGAAGAGGCCACGCCAGUGGCCUUGGAGCCGACCUUGAAAUACCACCCUGAUUUGUUUGCGGUUCUAACCACGGACAGUGAUCCUGUCUUGGGACCGUGCAUGGUAGGCAGUUUGACUGGGGCGGUCUCCUCCUAAAGGGUAACGGAGGAGUACGAAGGUACGCUAGGUACGGUCGGAAAUCGUGCUGAUAGUGCAAUGGCAAAAGCGUGCUUGACUGCGAGAGCAACAACUCGAGCAGAUGCGAAAGCAGGUCAUAGUGAUCCGGUGGCUCUGAAUGGAAGGGCCAUCGCUCAACGGAUAAAAGGUACUCUGGGGAUAACAGGCUGAUACCGCCCAAGAGUUCAUAUCGACGGCGGUGUUUGGCACCUCGAUGUCGGCUCAUCUCAUCCUGGGGCUGUAGUCGGUCCCAAGGGUAUGGCUGUUCGCCAUUUAAAGAGGUACGUGAGCUGGGUUUAAAACGUCGUGAGACAGUUUGGUCCCUAUCUGCCGUGGGCGUUGGAAGAUUGACGGGGGCUGCUCCUAGUACGAGAGGACCGGAGUGGACGCACCUCUGGUGUACCGGUUGUCACGCCAGUGGCAUUGCCGGGUAGCUAAGUGCGGAAGAGAUAACCGCUGAAAGCAUCUAAGCGGGAAACUUGCCUGAAGAUGAGUCUUCCCGGAGGUUGAACCUCCCUCAAGAGUCGUCCGAGACCAGGACGUCGAUAGGUCAGGUGUGUAAGCGCUGUAAGGCGUUAAGCUAACUGAUACUAAUUGCUCGUGAGGCUUGAUCCUAUAACC
rnacentral:rRNA from 1 species